GAAGAAGGAAAAAAAAGUGAGCAUCGCUGUGACCCACUCGUCAGGCCGUGGUCGUUCUGAAGAGAGCCAGCGGGCUCUAGGAAGAAUCGGGGUGAAGGGUCGGGAAAAACCGGGAGGCCCGGGCGUGACGGCAUCCCGCCCCACCACCCGGCCGCCCGGGCCGCCUUUGUGCGGGCGGCGCCCUGCCGCGGGCCCUGUCCCCGGGCUGCAGCGAGGCUGCUGGUCCGCGGUGCCCUGGCCUUCGGCCGAGGCUGACCCCACAGGUCAGCUCCGAAGCGGCCCCUCCUGCGCCCGAGGUCGAGACCACCGGGAGUUCGCCACCCACCCUGCAGGGCUGAGGACUGUGUCCGUGUCUGUCGGGAGCCACGUUGGUUCCCAUUUACAGAGGACGUAUUUGCAUUUUAGUGAGCCCUUCCGAGGACUCCAAACCCUCUUCCAAAAGGAAACCUAUGGAAGGCUGGGAAUUUCAAAAGUGCGGCAGGAUAUUAGAACCAGAAGGUCCCUGGAGACCACCUAAGCAAACCCUGUUAGUUUCCUGAUGAAGAUGCUGACUCAGAGAGGUUCCAGUGACUUCGACAAUGUCACACAGUUCACUAGGGAGGCCUGCAGUAGCCAAUGAGUCCCCUGUCCCUCCCCACCU